AUACGUAGGGGGCAAGCGUUAUCCGGAAUUACUGGGUGUAAAGGGAGAGUAGGCGGCAUGGUAAGCCAGAUGUGAAAGCCUUGGGCUUAACCCGAGGAUUGCAUUUGGAACUAUCAAGCUAGAGUACAGGAGAGGUAAGUGGAAUUCCUAGUGUAGCGGUGAAAUGCGUAGAUAUUAGGAAGAACACCAGUGGCGAAGGCGACUUACUGGACUGAAACUGACGCUGAGGCUCGAAAGCGUGGGGAGC
rnacentral:rRNA from 1 species